UGAGGAAUAUUGGUCAAUGGGCGGGAGCCUGAACCAGCCAAGCCGCGUGGAGGAAGAAGGUACAGAGUAUCGUAAACUCCUUUUGUCAGGGAUGAAAUGAACGCCCACGAGUGGCGUUCUGAAGGUACCUGAAGAAAAAGCAUCGGCUAACUCCGUGCCAGCAGCCGCGGUAAUACGGAGGAUGCGAGCGUUAUCCGGAUUUAUUGGGUUUAAAGGGUGCGUAGGCGGUCUUUUAAGUCAGCGGUGAAAGCCCGGGGCUCAACCCCGGCGAGCCGUUGAUACUGGGAGACUGGAGAGGAAGAGAGGCAUGCGGAAUUCGCGGUGUAGCGGUGGAAUGCUUAGAUAUCGCGAAGAACUCCGAUUGCGAAGGCAGCAUGCUGGCUUCCGUCUGACGCUGAGGCACGAAAGCGUGGGGAUCGAACAGGAUUAGAUACC
rnacentral:rRNA from 1 species